GAAUUAUCACGCAUGUGAGCUUUCUACGUGAACUAUCACCAAAAGUGUAUCGAAACACACGUCAAUUACCAAUAUUAAUCAACAUAAAUGAUAAAUUAUUCUCAUGAAAAUGUCAAUAAUAUUACUUGUGAGCUUUUAAUAUAUCGAGUGAUUAUUUAAAGAAACUUAUUGUGAUUGGUGAUGUAUGAAGAUAUAAAACCUGUAAUAAGACGAGGUCAAGAUAGAAUAUGGCGAUUGGUAUUUAUUUUCCACUUUUAAAGGGUCUAAAUAUUUUUUUAUUUAGAAAAAAGAACUCGUAUGGUAUCAGAGCUUGAUCUACAGUGACUACUGUAUUGCUUCGAAGUAUCUCUGCUGAAUCAUGGCAACUGUCGACAAUGAACUGCCUGAAAAGCUGAGCCAUAAUCAUCAUCUUUUCUUGCAUUCAAUUGACAAUUCUGGUGUUCUACUCAGUUUAAUACAACUGACUGGAUCUGACAAUUUCUCAGUAUGGAGUCGAGCAAUGAAGAUUGCAAUUCUAGGUCGAAAUAAACUCGGAUUCAUCGAUGGAUCGUGCAAAAAGGAAUCGUAUGGUCCAAAUCUAUCAAAUCUAUGAGAACGCUGCAAUGCCAUAGUACUUUCAUGGAUUAUGAAUUGUGUAUCGAAGGAAUUACUUGGAGGCAUAGUGUACUCCACAAAUGCUACUGCUGUGUGAAAGGAUCUUUGUGAAAGAUAUGACAAAAUUGAUUGAUCGCGUAUCUUUCAAUUGCACAAGGAGAUUGCAACAAUCAGUCAAGGUACCAGUUCAAUCUCAACCUAUUUUUCUAAGUUGCAUGAGUUAUGGGUAGAGUAUGAGAGUCUAGCUCCUGUUCCUAGCUGUGAAUGUGUUAAUUCGAGAGAAUUUGGAGUGUUUAUGCAUAAUCAGAAACUGCUUCAGUUCCUCAUGGGACUUAAUGACUCAUAUGAGCAAGGUAGAGGUCAGAUUCUUAUGAUGGUCCCAUUGCCAUCUCUGAACAAAACCUACUCUCUAUUGAUUAAAAGAGAGAAUCAGCGUAACAUCUCUCAAAUAUCCAGUAGUUCCAGUUCUUCUGAGCUAAGUGCCUUAUUCACUACUGGUCACAUUUCAAAUCCAUUGCCUAAGACAAGAUCUAGUUCGAGUUAUGAUCCAAAUGCAUUUUGUGACUACUGCAAAAGAACAGGACACACACAGGCUAUUUGUUAUAAACUUCAUGGCUAUCCACCUGGUUAUGAAAGGAAGAAGAAAGGAACUCCUACCACAAAUCAUGGGAGAUGAAGAUCCAAUAAUGAAAGGAGUCCAUAUCCAGCUGCUCACAAUGCAGUUAGUGAAUCUGAUCAGCCUCCUAGGUACAAUGAUGAGUCUGAAUAUAGCAGAUUUAUGAAUCAAAGGGCUCACAGCUAUGGCAGAGGAUCUAGACAAUCAGAUUAUACUGAGUAUCACGAAGGAAUGAAUGUCAUACAUGAGCAAUACAACCAAAUUUUACACAUGCUUGGUCAAUCCAAUUUACAAGGCAGCUUAGAAGGAGCCUCAGCUUCAGGGUCAUCUAGUGCAAAUCUGGCUAAGGAUCACUAUUCAUCUACAUGUAAUGCUACUGCACUUACAGUUAGCUCUGCACAGUCAAACUGGAUUCUAGACUCCGGAGCAGCAAAUCAUAUGACACCUAAUUCAGAUUUACUUGAUCAUAAACAACCAAUGUCUGCUGAUAAACCUAGAAGUGUACAGUUACCAAAUGGAGACACUACACUCAUUACUCAUACAGGAUCAUGUAAAAUGACAUCACAAGGCAUUAUCAAUAAUGUGCUUCUCAUUCCUGACUUUAAAUUCAAUUUGAUGUCAGUCUCUAAAAUUACUAAGGAUCUACAAUGUGCAGUGUGUUUUUUUCCUAAUUUUGUUACUAUUCAGGACCUCUACAGUGGGCAGGUGAAGGUGAUUGGUAGAGAGCAUGUAGUGUUCUAUCUUCUACCUACUCACUCAUCCACUACUGACAAAGUCUCUUCAUUAUAUUCACAUCUCGCUCAAGAUGAUAUUUCUCUAUCAGAGUCACAUUCCAUUCUAUGGCAUAAAAGAUUAGGACACACUUCUUCCACUGUUCUAGCUAAUGUUCUUGAUCUUUCUGUUAAACAAUGUUACAAGGAAGUUCACAAUUGCACUAUCUGUCCACUUGCUAAACAACCUAGAUUACCUUUUCAGCAUAGCAAUAUUGUAUCUACUUGUCCAUUUCAGUUGAUUCAUAUAGAUGUUUGGGGUCCCUUUCAUACCCCUACAUACGAUGGGAAUAGAGUUUUUGUAACCAUAGUCGACGAUUGUACUAGAAUGAUGUAGUUGUUUCUAAUAAAGCUGAAGAGUGAAGUUUGUGUUGUUUUGAAAAAUUUCUUCACUUUAGUCAAGACUCGGUUCAAUUCUUUGGUUAAAAUCAUUAGAACCGACAAUGGUUCUGAAUUUGUUAAUACUGAGUGCCACAAUUUAUAUACUAGCUUAGGCAUUAUACAUCAGAGAACAUAUAUUCAUACACCAUAGCAAAAUGGUAUUGCGGAAAGAAAACAUCGCCAUAUUCUUGAGGUUGCUAGGGCCAUCAAGUUUCAAGGGCAUAUUCCCACCAAGUUCUGGGGUCAUUGCAUCCUUAAUGCUGCUUAUAUUAUCAACAGACUACCCACACCUGUUCUACAUGGCAAGUCUCCUCAUGAAAUGUUUCACAAAAGAAAACCUUAUCUUCAUCAUAUGAGAGUUCUCGGUUGCCUUUGUUUUGCCAAAAAUAUGUACAUUCAAAACAAAUUCCAACCUCCGAGUGUUGUUGCUAUUCACAUGGGCUACAGUGAUCAAACAAAGGGCUAUUUAUUAUACAAUUUCGAGGACAGAAAUUUCUUCCUUAGCAGAGAUGUGCUGUUUAGAGAAUCCAUAUUUCCCUUUGUUGUAUCACAUUCUACUUCCUGGAAGCUAUUUCCUCAUAUUGCUACACCUACUAAUCCUACAUCUCUCAUUAGUGGUCCUGAUAGUGUUGACACAACAGUCUUGCCUACAGAGGAACCUACCUUGAGAAGAUCCCAAAGAAGCAGCAAAGCUCCCUUGUGGUUGACUGACUAUGUUGCCUCUGCCCAGUUCAAUCAUGUUAAGCUUUUGUAUUCUAUUGACAAGUAUAUUGGCUAUGAGCAUUUGUCUCCCUCCUAUCAGGCCUUCCUCUCUUCCUUUGGUUCUGAAGUUGAGCCUGCUACCUUUCAAGAAGCUUGUACAGACCCAAGGUGGGUUGAGGCUAUGCAGGCUGUGAUCUCAGCUUUAGAAUCUCACCAGACCUGGCAGGUGGUUCCCUUGCCUUCACACAAGAAAGCCAUUGGUUGUAAGUGGAUUUUUAAAAUCAAGUAUCAUGCCUCUGGGGAGGUUGAUAGAUUCAAGGCACGACUGGUCGCAAAAAGUUUUAAUCAGAGAGAGGGGCUGGAUUACCAAGAAACUUUUUCCCCUGUCGUUAAGAUGGUCACUAUCCGAAGUGUAUUAGCACUAGCAGCUAAGGAACAUUGGCACAUUCACCAGAUGGAUGUGUCUAAUGCCUUCCUCCAGGGUGAUUUGUUUGAUGAGGUCUAUAUGACUCUUCCCCUUGGCUUUCAACCUCCACAGGGAUUUACUGUGCAGGGGGUGAAACCUGUAUGCAAGCUCACUAAAUCCCUUUAUGGGUUGAAACAGACCCCAAGGCAAUGGAAUGUGAAGCUUAUAGAAGCUCUUAUCAGAAUGGGAUUUGUGCAAAGUCAUCUUGAUUACUCUUUAUUCAUCAAGAAGACAAGCACAUCUCUAGUGAUACUGUUAGUAUAUGUUGAUGAUAUGAUGAUUACAGGAAAUGAUCUCAAUCUCAUUCAGCAGACCAAAAGAGUUCUACAGGAUACUUUCAAGAUGAAAGAUCUAGGUGAUCUCAAGUAUUUUCUUGGGAUUGAGUUUGCUAGAUCCCAAGAAGGAAUUGUGAUGCAUCAAAGGAAAUACACUCUAGAAAUUAUCUCAGAAGCUGGACUGGGUGUUGCUAAACCAGCUACUACUCCUCUGGAUCCAUAUGUGCAACUAACUACCAAAGAAUAUGAUGAAUUAAAUGGAACAGGAAAGGAUGACAAGCUACUUACUGAUCCAACAGUGUAUAGGAGGUUGGUUGGGAAACUAUUGUAUCUAAAUUCACCAGACCAGACAUAUCCUGACACACAAACUUUGAGCCAGUUUCUACAUCAACCUAAACAAUCACAUCUAAAUGCUGCUCUCAAGGUGGUGAGAUACAUCAAGAGUCAGGCAGGGCUAGGUGUCCUACUGUCCAGUCAAAGUAGUAAACAAUUACAAGUCUACUGUGACUCAGACUGGGGAGCUUGCCUACACACAAGAAGAUCAGUUACAGGUUUUAUGGUCAAACUGGGAGGCUCACUGAUAACUUUGAAAUCUAAGAAGCAAUGAACUAUUUCUAGAAGUUCAGCUGAGGCUGAAUACAGGAGUAUGGCAAGUGCAGUAGCUGAAGUAGUGUGGCUGGUGAAACUAUUCAAAGAACUUGGAGCAGAAGUACUCACACUAGUUACCAUCUAUAGUGACAGUAAAUCUGCUAUUCAAAUAGCUGCCAACCCAGUUCUACAUAAAGAACAAAACAUAUUGAGUUAGAUUGUCAUUUCAUAAGGGAGAAAAUUCAAAGUGGACUAAUUCAGAUGAGUAUUUGAAUACUAAAGAACAAGAUGCUGAUAUGCUGACUAAGGGUCUUGGAAAAUCACAACAUGAGUAUUUGCUAUCCAAGUUUGGAGUACUGAACUUGUUCAUACCUUCAAACUUGAGGGGGAGUAUUGAAGAAGGCAUUACAUAGGAAGUUUGGGUCAUUAUGUAAUUACUAGAAGUUAGAGGACUAGUGAUCAAGUAGUUAGUUAGGGUAGUUACAAUUUAUUAUUUUCCUUCUGUUGUAUAUAUACAUGUACAGAAUAUCUUAGUGAGCAAUCAAUACAAUUCAUAAUUUGUUAAAUCUCUGAGUUCUCUCUCUGCUUCUAGAACAUUUCAAAGUAAUACGAAGUGUUCAUCAAGCUAUCGUCUUCAAGAUAGCUAACAGAAUUAUCACGCAUGUGAGCUUUCUACGUGAACUAUCACCAAAAGUGUAUCGAAACACACGUCAAUUACCAAUAUUAAUCAACAUAAAUGAUAAAUUAUUCUCAUGAAAAUGUCAAUAAUAUUACUUGUGAGCUUUUAAUAUAUCGAGUGAUUAUUUAAAGAAACUUAUUGUGAUUGGUGAUGUAUGAAGAUAUAAAACCUGUAAUAAGACGAGGUCAAGAUAGAAUAUGGCGAUUGGUAUUUAUUUUCCACUUUUAAAGGGUC
rnacentral:lncRNA from 1 species